CCCUGGUUAUCUCAGUUGGUAGAGCGCUCCACUGGAAAUGGAGAGGUUCCGGGUUCGAUACCCGAACCAGGCG
rnacentral:tRNA from 1 species